UACGUAGGGGGCAAGCGUUGUCCGGAAUCAUUGGGCGUAAAGGAGCGACGUAGGCGGCCCAGUAAGUCCGCUCUGAAAGUCAGGGGCUCAACCCCUGGAUGCGGGUGGAUACUGCUGGCUAGAGUCCGGAAGAGGUGAGUGGAAUCCUGGUGGUAGCGGUGAAAUGCGCAGGAUAUCAGGAGGAACACCGAUGGCGAAGGCAGCUCACUGGGACGGUAAGC
rnacentral:rRNA from 1 species